rnacentral:rRNA from 1 species
GAUAAACGCUGGCGGCGUGCAUGAGACAUGCAAGUCGAACGGACGAUCGAGGCUUGCUUCGAUCGUUAGUGGCGGACGGCUGAGUAACGCGUAGGUGACCUGCCCCGAAGUGGGGAAUAACUGCCCGAAAGGGUGGCUAAUACCGCAUGUGGUGGUGUGUUCAAUCACACCAGUAAAGCCGCAAGGCGCUUCGGGAGGGGCCUGCGUCCGAUUAGCUCGUUGGUGGGGAACGGCUCACCAAGGCGACGAUCGGUAGGUGGUCUGAGAGGACGAUCACCCAGACUGGGACUGAGACACGGCCCAGACUCCUACGGGAGGCAGCAGUCGGGAAUUUUGCGC